rnacentral:snRNA from 1 species
AUACUUACCUUGCAGCAGAGUCCUCCGCUCAUAAAUGGUGGAUUCUCGCAGUUCUCUCGCCUUCAUAGCACAUCGAAGGCGGGAACCGCGCCAGCUGUCCUUGGGCACCUGGGCUGCCCAAUUUUUGAUUUUACCCCUGAGAUUUGCUUGUCU